GACGAACGCUGGCGGCGUGCUUAACACAUGCAAGUCGAACGUGAUUUUUGUGGAAAGCCCUUCGGGGACGGAAAUGAAAUGAAAGUGGCGAACGGGUGAGUAACACGUGAGCAACCUACCUUACACAGGGGGAUAGCCGUUGGAAACGACGAUUAAUACCGCAUGAGACCACAAAGCCACAUGGCUUAGGGGUAAAAGAUUUAUCGGUGUAAGAUGGGCUCGCGUCUGAUUAGCUAGUUGGAAGGGUAAAGGCCUACCAAGGCAACGAUCAGUAGCCGGUCUGAGAGGAUGAACGGCCACAUUGGAACUGAGACACGGUCCAAACUCCUACGGGAGGCAGCAGUGGGGAAUAUUGCACAAUGGGGGGAACCCUGAUGCAGCGACGCCGCGUGAGCGAAGAAGGUUUUCGAAUCGUAAAGCUCUGUCCUAUGAGAAGAUAAUGACGGUAUCAUAGGAGGAAGCCCCGGCUAAAUACGUGCCAGCAGCCGCGGUAAUACGUAUGGGGCGAGCGUUGUCCGGAAUUAUUGGGCGUAAAGGGUACGUAGGCGGCCUUUUAAGUCAGGUGUGAAAGCGUGAGGCUUAACCUCAUUAAGCACUUGAAACUGGAAGGCUUGAGUGAAGGAGAGGAAAGUGGAAUUCCUAGUGUAGCGGUGAAAUGCGUAGAUAUUAUGAGGAAUACUGGUGGCGAAAGGCGAUUUCUGGACUUUUACUGACGCUCACGUUCCGAAAUCGUGGGGAGCAAUUGGUUAUUACCCCUGGUUUUCUCGGCGAGUCCUCUCGUUUUUUU
rnacentral:rRNA from 1 species